GGGAGCCGCCGCCGGCCUCCCCGCGGCAGCCACUCGGGGUGGAGGCUGCGCGCCUGCGCCUCCGCUGCUGCCUCCAGCGGGAGGCCGCGCCGGGCUCCGCCGCUCGGGGGGCGCCGAGGCUGUGGCAGCAUGCUGCUGUGCCACACGUUAGUAUGAGCUGCACAAUAAGCAGAAGUAAAACCUCCACAUCCUGCAGGUCAUUUAAAUUGGAUUCUGUAUGAAGAGUCAUCUGCAAGAAGCCCAAGAUGAUGCAUCUCUCCAUUUACACCUGCAGAAAUGCACAAGAGACUUAUAACUAAGACAUAGACUGAAGAAAGUUAAUAAGACUGUUAGUAGUCUGUAUCACUAAUGAAAAGGCUAUGGAUGAUUCUAGUCUUUUCCUUCAAGCCUUGAUGAAACCUGGAAAUGUCAGAAAGUUGAUUUUUCUGCAGGACCAGCAGCUAUAAGUAAAAAAGAGGAGAAAAAUUGAGGAAAAAAAUAGAGAAAGCCACUGACAAGAACUGCUACUGGUUGUGACUAAUCCGUUCUAAGCUUACAUUUGCUUGCAUCUUAAUGGAUCUUUUAACCUAAUUUACUGAGUCUAUUUCUUUUUAAUUAACUUUCAUAAAAGUUCAGGUAUUUUUUCAUGAAGUACACGAAGAUCAGCUAGGAAAGCUAUUAUCAUCUACAGUAGCAAUACAGCAAUGUGGAAUUCAGUUUUUUUGAUUAAAAAUAGAUGCAUAAAUCAUAAGAAGUAAACCUGAAGUAUCUCACACCCUUUUACCCUGUCCUCACUUUUCAGUGACAGUUAAAGAAUGAUAUAAAGAAUUCCUUUUUGUGUUUGCCUGUUCGACAUGACCAGUGCAAAUAAAUCACAUAGGCUUAGGAAGACAGGCAAUUAUCUGUCAGCAGGCUCAUUCAUUUCUAGUCUGUAGGUGGAUGUAGUUUCAAACAGAAAGAAGGUGGCUUUCCAAAAAUCCACGUGGACCUGUUAAUUGCGAAAGAAGGGUGUAGAAUGCCCCGUGUAAAAUGAGUGUGCUACAUUUCAAUAAAAAAUGUGAUUUCUGUAUCAGAAAUGCUAUCCACGUGCAAGUUGAAUUAUGCAGCAUAUUACUUCUCAAGAUGGCUGUACCUCUUGAUCAAUCAGGUCAAGAGUUAUGUAAGGCCUUACCUGCAUUACGUAAAGCACACCUCAAGUGGGAACGAUGCUGCAGGAAUAUUUACGUUUUCAAAGCAUUCUGCAUUUUCAAUGACAGUUGAACAAAGCAUCCCUUAAAAACAGAAGGAAAACAAUGAUAUUUCGUUAAAUUAAUGAACCUGUUCAAAAGUAUGGAACAAACAUCUAGCAAAUUAUAAUGAUCAUAGGACUUGCAACAGUAGGUGGUGGGGAAAAAAAGACUACUGCUAUCCUAUUUUGGAAAUUACUAUGACAGGGUACUAGGUUCCAUUCCAUUUAAAGAUUUCUUCAUGCAAAUUGUAUGAGGCAUUUUCUAAAAACAGUGGAUUUCCAUAAUGGAAUUUUGGCAAAUUAAAUCAAAACAGGUUGCUAUGACAGUUCCUACAAAUAUUUCUAUUUUAGCUUUAUUUUGUAUUAUAAAUAUGUCAAGAUGAAGUCAUUCUUGUCAAAACAAAGUUAUAUUUCCUUUUGGGAAAAAUUUCCAGGCCUUUUCUCAAUGCUCUAAUUUUCCAUAUUCAUCAAAGUCAAGAUGAGGGCUAAUUUCAAAUGCUUUAACAUACAUCUGCAUAAUCAUAAACCCACAUAAACAUAGCUUUAGUCUUAUAAAUGAGUGAUGUCAUUACAUACAGUAUUGUUAGCUUAACUGACUUUCCUUACUGCUCUGUAUAACAAGAGACUGAAAAAUAAAAGAUAUUUAACG